GUGGGGAAUAUUGCGCAAUGGGGGAAACCCUGACGCAGCGACGCCGCGUGAGCGAAGAAGGCCUUAGGGUUGUAAAGCUCUGUUUUAAGGGACGAAUGUCGUGGGGAGUAAUAUGCUCUGCGAAUGACGGUACCUUAAGAGGAAGCCCCGGCUAACUACGUGCCAGCAGCCGCGGUAAGACGUAGGGGGCGAGCGUUGUCCGGAAUUACUGGGCGUAAAGAGCACGUAGGCGGGAACUUAAGUCAGGUGUGAAAGACCGGGGCUCAACUCCGGGGUUGCACUUGAAACUGGGUUUCUUGAGGGCAGGAGAGGAAAGCAGAAUUCCUGGUGUAGCGGUGAAAUGCGUAGAGAUUUGGAAGAACACCAGUGGCGAAGGCGACUUUCUGGACGAUGUCUGACGCUGAGGCGCGAAAGCUAGGGGAGCGAACGGGAUUAGAAACCCUUGUAGUCC
rnacentral:rRNA from 1 species